rnacentral:rRNA from 1 species
UGGGGAAUAUUGCACAAUGGGCGCAAGCCUGAUGCAGCCAUGCCGCGUGUGUGAAGAAGGCCUUCGGGUUGUAAAGCACUUUCAGCGAGGAGGAAGGGUUCAGUGUUAAUAGCACUGUUCAUUGACGUUACUCGCAGAAGAAGCACCGGCUAACUCCGUGCCAGCAGCCGCGGUAAUACGGAGGGUGCAAGCGUUAAUCGGAAUUACUGGGCGUAAAGCGCACGCAGGCGGUUUGUUAAGUCAGAUGUGAAAUCCCCGCGCUUAACGUGGGAACUGCAUUUGAAACUGGCAAGCUAGAGUCUUGUAGAGGGGGGUAGAAUUCCAGGUGUAGCGGUGAAAUGCGUAGAGAUCUGGAGGAAUACCGGUGGCGAAG